CAUGCUGAUUGUGACGUAAUAAGUGUUUAAACAAAGCUUUUGUUUCCAACAUUUUGUGCGGCAAUUAUGACAUC